rnacentral:rRNA from 1 species
GCCUAACACAUGCAAGUCGAGCGGCAGCACGGGAAGCUUGCUUCCUGGUGGCGAGCGGCGGACGGGUGAGUAAUGCAUAGGAAUCUGCCCGGUAGUGGGGGAUAACCUGGGGAAACCCAGGCUAAUACCGCAUACGUCCUACGGGAGAAAGCAGGGGCUCUUCGGACCUUGCGCUAUCGGAUGAGCCUAUGUCGGAUUAGCUGGUUGGUGAGGUAAUGGCUCACCAAGGCGACGAUCCGUAGCUGGUCUGAGAGGAUGAUCAGCCACAUCGGGACUGAGACACGGCCCGAACUCCUACGGGAGGCAGCAGUGGGGAAUAUUGGACAAUGGGCGCAAGCCUGAUCCAGCCAUGCCGCGUGUGUGGAGGAGGCCCUCGGGUUGUAAAGCACUUUCAGUGGGGAAGAAAGCCUUCCGGUUAAUACCCGGGAGGAAGGACAUCACCCACAGAAGAAGCACCGGCUAACUCCGUGCCAGCAGCCGCGGUAAUACGGAGGGUGCGAGCGUUAAUCGGAAUUACUGGGCGUAAAGCGCGCGUAGGUGGCUUGAUAAGCCGGUUGUGAAAGCCCCGGGCUCAACCUGGGAACGGCAUCCGGAACUGUCAGGCUAGAGUGCAGGAGAGGAAGGUAGAUUCCCGGUGUAGCGGUGAAAUGCGUAGAGAUCGGGAGGAAUACCAGUGGCGAAGGCGGCUUCUGGACUGACACUGACACUGAGGUGCGAAAGCGUGGGUAGCAAACAGGAUUAGAUACCCUGGUAGUCCACGCCGUAAACGAUGUCGACUAGCCGUUGGGUCCUUCGCGGACUUUGUGGCGCAGUUAACGCGAUAAGUCGACCGCCUGGGGAGUACGGCCGCAAGGUUAAAACUCAAAUGAAUUGACGGGGGCCCGCACAAGCGGUGGAGCAUGUGGUUUAAUUCGAUGCAACGCGAAGAACCUUACCUACCCUUGACAUCCUGCGAACCCUUCGGAGACGAAGGGGUGCCUUCGGGAACGCAGAGACAGGUGCUGCAUGGCUGUCGUCAGCUCGUGUUGUGAAAUGUUGGGUUAAGUCCCGUAACGAGCGCAACCCUUGUCCCUAUUUGCCAGCGAUUCGGUCGGGAACUCUAGGGAGACUGCCGGUGACAAACCGGAGGAAGGUGGGGACGACGUCAAGUCAUCAUGGCCCUUACGGGUAGGGCUACACACGUGCUACAAUGGUCAGUACAAAGGGUUGCGAACUUGCGAGAGUGAGCCAAUCCCAGAAAGCUGAUCUCAGUCCGGAUCGGAGUCUGCAACUCGACUCCGUGAAGUCGGAAUCGCUAGUAAUCGUGAAUCAGAAUGUCACGGUGAAUACGUUCCCGGGCCUUGUACACACCGCCCGUCACACCAUGGGAGUGGACUGCACCAGAAGUGGUUAGCCUAACCUUCGGGAGGGCGAUCACCACGGUGUGGUUCAUGACUGGGGUGAAGUCGUAACAAGGUAGCCGUAGGGGAACCUGCGGCUGGAUCACCUCCUU